UCUGUUCUUGUGAGCUUAAACUUUAGUCGUAAUGUAGAAGCAUGAACAUGAUAAAGUUAAUGAAAAUUUUUAGCACCUUUUAUAGAACUUUAUGAUAGGAAAACCAUAUCUCUGGUGGCUGAAUCAGCAAUUGCAUUUCCCUUAACCAUAGGUUUAGGUAAAGACGUAUGUGUUCUAAUAUGUUGAAUAUAAAAGGGAUGCUCACACAUCAAAAUACAAUCUUGUAUUUUCAUCAAAAUUUUAGAUACUGAACUAGACUGCUUAAAAUUUUUGGCAGUCUCUAAUGUUAAUACAGCAUUAACUACAUAAACAGAAUCUGAGAUAAUAUUUAUGGGCAUAAGGAACCCUUUUUAAAAACGUUUAAAACCACCAAACAUUCCACCAAUUGAGGGACUCCUGGUGUAAAUUGUAACCUCACAGCUUUUCCAUUAAUCACAUAACUUCUGAUUUCUGUUUUGGAUCCAUCUGUAUAAAUAUCAAUAGCUCCCUUUAUACAGGUAUUAGCCAUAACCCUUGGAAAGAUAAUAAAGGAUGUUUAGGAUGAUGAUUAUAUAUUAAACCAGAAUAAGCACAUCUAAGAAUGGACGAUUCAUCUAUAGUAGCACACAAUAUUUGCAUUUGUGCAGCAGUACAUGGAAUAAUUAUGCUAUCAGGCAUUUCUCCGAAGUGAGUAAUUGAAUUUUUAAAUACCUUUAUGGGCCAUAUUUGCCACCAUGGUGGGGAUAAUGCUCUAUAGUCUUAUUAAGUGAUAUAUGUGGAUGUAUCCAUACUAAAGGACCAUCUUGCCACAACACAGCAGUUGGCAAAUUUAUGGUUCGUAAUAUGCAUAGGCACGAAGGUUCUUGCUCAUUUACACGACUCAACUGUACCUUUUGGAUAGCUGUUUCCACCUUCCUAAGAGUUUUAGAAGCCUCAGGUGUUAGUUAUCUCAAUGAGGUAAUUGUGAUUCUCAUUUUAAAAUUAGAAAUAAAGGUUUUAAUUCUGAAGUAGGGAUCCAUAUAUAAGGUCUAAUCCAAUUUAUAUCUUUUAAUAAUUUUUAAAAAUCAUUCAAUGUCUUUAAAUGAUCUUUUUUUUAUACUAAUCUUUUAUGGGGUGACACACCGUAAAGUAAUGGUGGCUCCUAAAAAAUGACCAACAUUAGACUGUUGUACUUUUCUGGUGCAAUAAUCAAGCCAUUAUUUUUAAAGUUUCAUUAAACAAACCAUAAGCUUGCUGUAUACUUUCUUCUUUAGGUUCACAAAUUACAAUAUUUAUAUAGUGACACACCUAUAAAGAGGGGAAACCAUCUCUAACUGGCUGCAAAGCCUUUCCCACAUAUAACUGACAUAUGGCAGGGCCACCUACCAUUCCUUGGGGCAAUACUCACAUUGAUACCCUUAAUUAGGCUCUGUAUGAUUAAUAGAAGGCAAGGUAAAUGCAGAUUAAGUUCAUCUUUUCCACUUAAUGGAAUGGAAAAGAAACAAUCUUCAACAUCCACCACUAUAAUUCUCCAAUCCUUAGGUAGGGAGAGUACUCUUUGUAUAGGACCCAUAACUUACAUUUGUGCAUUAAUAGCUCUUAGGUCAUGUAACAAUCUCCACUUAUCUGAUUUCUUCUUUACAACGAAAAUAGGGGAAUUCCAGGGUGAUUGUGUGAGUUCCACAUGUCCCAGGUCUAAUUGUUCUAGUACUAAUUCUCUAGCUGCUUUUUUAACUGGAGAAACUCUACCUUGU
rnacentral:lncRNA from 1 species